UUUGCUUCUAAUUGAUGGUAGCUUAAACUGAGCCCAGUUGAACCCUUUGCCACUGCAGAAGUAUGUGAAUACAAAUUUUAUUUCAUAAUUUACAGUCCAACACUUGCUCAACCAUAGCUAUCAUGAAUUCAUCUCCUCUAAAAUGGUCAGUGUCCUCAUUGCUAAUAGUAGUGCUUUUCUUCUCUCAUUACAAUGCAACUGUUAGUGAUUUGAUUCCUGUCACAUUAGACUCAGUUGCUUGGUCGUGCUUAAGUUUUUUUUUUUAAAAAAAAGUCUGCUUCGGCAUGAACGAAUCCAAAAAAGAGUUUGAUAAUACUAACUCAAAUGGAAUUGCAUUAUAUUAGCUCCAUAUGGGGUGGGAUUAAGCUUAGUCCAAAAGAGACUCUGUAUGAUAGCAUACCAGCCAUGCCAAUGGUAGGUAUAUCUAUAAGGUAAAAACUGUACCUGCCACCUUUCGCGCUAUCCACUAGAAUCCAGUCAACUAGAGAAGACUCCUCAUUAGAGAUAGAGUUCAAAAGGCCUCCCUCUUCAUCUGCAUGAAGUACGUAUACUAAAGGUCUCUCUCUGACUAAAACUGGAAAAGCAUCUCGAGAAUCAUUUCCAUGAAGCUGCUCAAUUUGAACAUGUUGUGGAUUUUGAGUAUUGAAAACAAUAGAUACAAGAUGGUGAAAGAUAACAGUCUUCACCUGCACCAAUUCAAGGUUUGCUGCAUCAGAGGCCCUUAGUAUUGUGUUAGCAUUAUCAUCUACAAACACCCCAACUGGAAGAGCUCCAUAUUCCCGCGCAACCUUUGAGAUUUCCUUUGCAGUAGAAAGUGAAACAGAGCGCUUUGAGUUGGGCCAUAUGAUCAUACCAAUAAAAUUGGCUCCAGCUUCUGCUGCAAGAGCAGCAUCUCUAGCUGAUGUAAUUCCACACAUUUUGACUAAAGUCCUACUUUCUGUUUGUGCUGCUUGAGCCGAGACUCCUGUUGACUGAUUUAAUGUGCACAUAAAUCUGUUGCUGGUGGAAGUCCUCAGUUGUGCUCUAUUUAUAGAAUAUACUUCUACAUCCAAUACACCUGUAAGAAUAAGAUUUGGAUGUAUCAGUUCUAAUAUAUUCUACUUUAACCACCAGAUCUGUGAACAUGUUUUAAAAGAAUCUCAAGGAAAAAUCAUUACUUCUAAAACGCCGAUCAAUUGCAAAUUUGCAUCAUUCCACUUAUUGUUGAUAAGAAUUAGAAUAAGAGAAGGUUAAAAAGGAAAACUUUUCUCUGUAAGAUUAAAAAGAACUCGAGAAAAAUGCAGUGGCUAAGCAAGCAAUCAAAAUCCAAAGCUUAACUCUAGAAUUGUCAGGUGUAAGCUUCCUAUCCCAGUCCUGGUUGACUUCUCUUUUUUUCUUGUGUGAAAAAAUUAAAAGAACAAAUAGAAUAAGUAAUAAUUGUGUUCUCAUUGGUCUUUAGAUCACGUGUUUUCUUAAGAGAACCCCAAGUUCUCAAAAUUCCCAACUUAUUAUCUUCUGAAGCUACAAAUUAUUUCUUAAAAACUGUUGCUCUCUUUCUUCUUGUUUUUUUCUUACAAUUAUCUUUUAGGGUGGGGAUACUAUAAUGCAAAGAAUGUCCAUAUAAUCCAAACUUUCACUUACCUUGACUUCUGGGAAGGCCUAUUACUCUUGGUUGAAGCUGAGCUCCCAUGUUGAACACUGAAAAACACAGAACUAUGGCUAAGACUUGAGUAAAUAGUGACAUGAUCUAACACAAUGUUAUGUGCUCUUAUGCCACUCAAACAAAUCAUUAAACAAGCAGGACCUUGGAAAUUGAAAGAAGUAGAUCUCUGAGAUUAUUGAACAAAUUUUAGCUGCUGAAUAACAGCUCUUAAAAAAAGCAAACAUCAUACUGGCACGUCUACUGGGGCUUACGAUUGUUUCUUUGUUUGUAUAAAAAUAGGAAGAGCCUUCAGGGUGAUGAUUGCAUUUUGAUAGAAAUCCAAAGAUCUAUUGCCCACUGUUUUUCUGGUGCAUGUUGCACUGAGGAACACACCACAUCUCUAUAAACUGAAAUCUAUUAGUCUCUGGAUGAGACGACACUUGUAUUGUUAGUUGUAAUAAGACUAAUGGCAGAUAACACAAUGAAGACAAUGUCUAGUUUGCUACAGAAAGGAAAGCAGGGGAAUGCAAGGAACUAAAUGUGAAGCUGACUUAGAGAAAAAGCUUAUGCAGAAAGUUCUCUAUUCUGUAAAAAGAACCAGAAAAUACAUAAACAUUCAAUUGAAGUUGUCUAUUAACUGAUACACUCUUGGUGCUCUGGCCUAUAAGAAAAGGUGCAUGUGUAAAGAUGGAUGAAGAAAAAUAUAAGUAAAGAAGAACCUGAGAGCAUCCUUCCUUCUUAAUUCUAUUCUACCACUAUUGUGAUACUCGAGAGAGGAGAGAUACCGCGAAAUAGUCCUGCUACUCAUCAAAUAAAGGAACUGGUCAAACAGAGGAAUUGCUAAUUGCUAAUACAUUCUAAUAACUAGACUAGUCAGCUUAUGCUAGCUAGUCAACAAAGAAACCUUUUAAAACUGACAAUUCACAAACAAGCAACUAAAAUCCAAGAAGCUGGAAAGCAACAUUGACCAACAAAUCAUGGAGAUAUCCAGAGUAUUUCACUACAUGAUUAAAUUCUAGAAUGAGUACAACAUAAAUAUAAACAUAUGAUAUCUUAUGUCUGUUCAGAAUCUAAAGAGUAGUUUGGUUUGGGUUUUAGAAGAGCUAGUAAUAUAAGAAUAAGUUAAAAACAACAACAAACCUAGUGGAAUCCCACAAAGUGGGGCCUGAGAAGAUAGAGUGUAUGCAAGCCUUACCACUACUUCUAUGAGGUAGAGAGGGUGUUUCCGAAUGACCCUCGGCUCAAGCAAAUCAAAGUAGUAAUUAAACGAAAAGCAUGACAACUAAUAGGAAAAAGUGUGGAGCAUAUAUGCAAGGAACCAUAACUAUAACAGCAAGACGAAGUCACUAAAACAGAGUAAACCACAUAUGAUAUCACAUAGAAAAAACCAAAGACAACAUGAAUAUGCUAAUACUACGACCGACAUGGAGCUAUAAACUCCCACCCAACCAAAGACAUGAAUAGAUAAGUAAUAUGACAACUCUCAACUACCUACUAGCCUUCUAUCUUUUCUACGACCGCCAUAUCCUCUUAUCUAAGGUCAUGUCCUCGAUUAGCUGAAGAUGCGUCAUAUCUUGCCUAAUUGCCUCUCCCCAAUAUUUUUUUAACCUGCCUCUACCUCUCCUCGACCCCACUAUAUCCAACCUCUCACACCUCCUUACCGGCAGGAGUGUUCAAAACUGAACCGUAACCGAUAAGCCAACCACAAAAUUGGCUUAUUGGUAAUAAGGUUGGAUAUACAGUUGGUGAAUGGAUUAAUAUUUUAUAAUUAACGGCUUAUUGGGGGGGGGGAUCACUUAAUUUUCUUAUUGGGUAAACCAUUAACCCGUUAUGAGAUAUCAUACUUGCACUUUUACCAAAGAUAUAUAAACUAAUAAGAAUAUAUAAUACUACAACAGGUGAUCAAUGCGUGAUAACAACAUAUGGAUCAUGUCUCGAAACAUUUGAUGGCAUCUAUCAAGUGUGUUAACAACUAAAUAUAAUUGCUAAAAGGCACUUAAAUCAACGCUAACAGAAUUUUGUUGAGCAAAUAUUAUAGUAAUUAGGUAAGAUAUUGAGAGAGCGCAUAGCUAAUAUGAUCAGACGGCAAAGCAGGUUGCAAGGGCGGACAAAAGAAAACUGACAACUGAUUGAGCAAGUCUGUCACCCGCUGUUCACAAAGGAGAAAAAAUCAAAUUUGAUCCUAGAUAUAUACCACAUAACAUUAAUAGCCCCAUAACAUUUGCAAAAAGUAAAAAUAUUUUUAGUCCAAACCUGAAAACUAACAGACCUCUCCAAGCUUUCUGUUAAAAAUUAAAAUCGUCAGAAAUACUCAGGAGUAUUUCACGUGAUAUGCUAACAGUCAAAACAAAGAAACAGUUCAUUUUCACCACCUGGUGGAGAUAUCAUCUCAGCCAAUCAUUUGGACCCAAAAUCAAUCCAAAAUCCUAACAUUAGAUAGUGAUGUUCAUUAGAGGAAUAGUGGAGUAUAAUCAACUCUUUGUUAUGGUAAGAAUCUAUUUUCCUUUUACAUUUCACAUUGUAUGAUUUUAUAUUGUUCUACUAUAUACUUUUGACUGCUAUGCACUAUUUUCUGUCAAUAUUGAUUACCAAAAAUGUUAUCUUCUGUCUGAACUCCCUCACUCUCCUGAGAUUGUGCUUGGUUGUUUUGCUUUUUCUUUUAUGUUGUAAUUUUGUUUAUGCUAAUUUUUCUUUAUAGCUACACUGAUCUUUUCUUCAUAUCUUGACAGAAUUUUAAAUUCUGUUUUUAUUUUAUUGAUACAGAAUAGUGGUCCUAAAGACAAUUUUAAGUUUUUGACUUAGAUAUUGAUGAUCGAGCGGAUGGACCUUAAUGUCUAACUGAAGAAUUUAGUACGGUUAUGUCAUCUGUCAGCCAUAGAUUCUGUCUGAGACACCUCCACAACAAUGUUAAGAGGCAGAGACAGGACGAGAUGAUACCUUUAUCUCAUCUUACAUUGUGGACAUCAAACAUGGUCAUAUUUGAUGCUACUCUUAUUCUAUUUUGCUGUCAAUUGAUGUUACAAGAUGGCUUUACAGAUCAAGUAGUAGUCAUUUUGUUAUGUGCAGGCUGGAAUAGCUCCUAAUGAGUUGCAGCCAGUGGGUAGUGUUUUAAGUGAUGGUUGUUGAUGUGAAGUUGGUGUUUCAUUUUUGAUGGUAUCUUUGGUUAUAUAGAAGUGUAAAGUCAGUUCCGUUGCUGCAGAUUUUUAACAUUUUGCUUUGUAAACAAUUUUAAUGUAUUUUGCUGGUGUAUUUCAAUGUAUUUUGCUGCCUCGUGUUAAAGCUUAUAUGCAUCUACUAUACAGCAAUGAAGCUGACUAUUUUUGACAUAUAUUGCACCGUACCAAAGGAUGUAGGAAGCCCAUUUUAGUUGCAUUUUAAUAUUCUUCAGUUGACCAGAAAUGUUGUAGAAUAUAGCUAGCAGCCUAAAAAACUGUUCUUGAUUCAAUGGUCAUUACUGUACUGAAGAUUUUGUUCUCUCCUUUUUGCUACCAAUACUGUCUCCA
rnacentral:lncRNA from 1 species